AAACCAACAGGGAUUGCCUUAGUAGCGGCGAGUGAAGCGGCAAAAGCUCAAAUUUGAAAUCUGGCUCUUUCAGAGUCCGAGUUGUAAUUUGAAGAAGGUAUCUUUGGGUCUGGCUCUUGUCUAUGUUUCUUGGAACAGAACGUCACAGAGGGUGAGAAUCCCGUGCGAUGAGAUGAUCCAGGCCUAUGUAAAGUUCCUUCGAAGAGUCGAGUUGUUUGGGAAUGCAGCUCUAAGUGGGUGGUAAAUUCCAUCUAAAGCUAAAUAUUGGCGAGAGACCGAUAGCGAACAAGUACAGUGAUGGAAAGAUGAAAAGAACUUUGAAAAGAGAGUGAAAAAGUACGUGAAAUUGUUGAAAGGGAAGGGCUUGAGAUCAGACUUGGUAUUUUGUAUGUUACUUCUUCGGGGGUGGCCUCUACAGUUUAUCGGGCCAGCAUCAGUUUGGGCGGUAGGAGAAUUGCGUUGGAAUGUGGCACGGCCUCGGUUGUGUGUUAUAGCCUUCGUCGAUACUGCCAGCCUAGACUGAGGACUGCGGUUUAUACCUAGGAUGUUGGCAUAAUGAUCUUAAGUCGC
rnacentral:rRNA from 1 species